UGGUACCGGCGGCGGUGGUGCCGCUGGCGGUGGUGCACCUGGGGUGGUCGCCGGGAUCUGUGGACCGCCGAACGCGUCUCUCGCGCCGACGGAUUACGUGACGGCGGCAUGCUAUCCCACGGGAACGCAGCUCACCCUGACCGCCACUCACCCUCAGCCCCACGUCGUUGAUCCCGCGAUGACGCCCACCUCGGCACCGGUGCCGACACCGACGUCGGCGUCGGGCCCCAAUAACCCCGUCGCCAUGAGUCAGCUGGGGACCGUCUACGCCACCAAGAGACGGCGUCGGAACGGAAAGAGCUUGAAACCGCCGCAAAAAGACGGGGUAACAAAAUCGAACCCUAGUAAGCGGCAUCGGGAACGAUUGAACGCCGAGCUGGACACGUUGGCGUCGUUACUUCCUUUCGAGCAGAACAUCCUCAGCAAGCUCGACCGACUCAGCAUCCUCAGACUCAGCGUAAGCUACCUCCGCACCAAGAGCUACUUCCAAGUGGUGAUGCACAAGGAUAAGGAGGAGAAUUCACACCACGACUCGCAUUACAGGGCGAGAGAGUUGGCGGCGCUCGCUGCUUACGACCAUCAUCACCUCGACGGCGAAAUGUUCCUACAGGCACUGAACGGGUUCCUGCUAAUACUGACCUGCGACGGGGAGGUGUUUUUCGCUACCCACAGCAUAGAGAGUUACCUUGGCUUCCAUCAGUCCGACAUCGUUCAUCAGAGUGUCUACGAAUUGGUGCACAGCGAGGACCGGGAGGAGCUGCAGCGGCAAUUAAUGUGGAACUCGUUCCUACCCGCCGAAAGCGCGAGUCUGCCGUUGCACGAUGCGCUCUCACCCCAACACAGUCAUCUGCUCGAGCGCAGCUUUACGGUUCGCUUCCGCUGUCUUCUGGACAAUACAUCCGGUUUUCUGCGCCUUGACAUCAGGGGCCGAGUCAAAGUGCUUCAUGGUCAGAAUCGGAAGACAGAAGAGCCACCAUUGGCUUUAUUCGCCCUGUGCACACCGUUUGGGCCUCCUUCGCUGCUGGAGGUGCCGCAGAAGGAGGUAAUGUUCAAGAGCAAGCACAAGUUGGAUCUCGCGCUCGUGACGAUGGACCAGAGAGGGAAGAUGCUCUUGGGGUACUCUGACGCGGAGCUAACGAACCUGGGUGGCUACGAUCUAGUCCAUUACGACGACCUGGCCUACGUCGCAAGCGCGCAUCAAGAACUAUUGAAGACCGGUGCGUCGGGCAUGAUAGCCUACAGAUUUCAAACGAAGGACGGCGGUUGGCAGUGGCUGCAGACCAGCUCCAGAUUAGUCUACAAGAACUCGAAGCCAGACUUCGUGCUCAGUACGCAUCGACCCCUCAUGGAGGAGGAGGGUAGAGACCUGCUCGGCAAGCGCACGAUGGACUUCAAAGUGAGCUACCUGGACGCCGGACUGACCAACAGCUACUUCUCAGACAGCGACAGUCUGACGGGGUCGGUGAUGACGCCGACAUUACCAGCGCAGCCGGCGCCUCAGAGAGUGAACAGGCGGUACAAGACGCAACUGCGAGACUUCCUGUCGACCUGUCGCAGCAAACGCACCAAGCUCACCGCUCAGUCGUCGGUCUCGCCGCCCGUCACACCGACAGUCGCGUCCGUCGACUACCUCGCGGCGGACACCAGCGCGGCGGCUGCGGUUGCAGCUGCUUACAGCAAUUUAAACACCAUGUACCCGACGCCGUACGCGCCCACUGCGGUAGCAGCUAGCACCGACCCCUCGUUGACGACUUACAUCGGUCAUACGGGCAACUACCAUCAGACUCUUUAUCCAGCCACCGCGUUAGACAACAGGUACCUUACAGCUGCGACGGAGAACCUGUUCCAAUACAGGCCACUGAGCUCAUACUAUCCAGAGUACCACACCGGCACCACGUACAACGGCUUUAUCGACGUUUCAUUGCCCACGUAUGAGACUCAUCAGUUAACCAGCAAGACAGAGGACAAGCUCUACUGCCAACAACUCGGCAGCGGCGAAUCGCCCAAGUACGGCUACGUGGAGACGAGACACCCCGGCAGCGUAAGUAGCUCGCCUUACGCCGCCAGCCCGGUGGCGAGCGCGUCCACGAUGCACCCAGCGACGACCGACAUCAACGUCGUGCGUGCUGGAAGCAGACACUCGCUGGAGGGUGGCGCAUCGUCCAGUAACUCAGCGGGUAGCUCACCGGUGACCGGCGCGGCCAACGGUGUGUUGACACCAAAGAUGGAGGACGUGAAGCCCGAAGUCUACAGCAACAAUGACGCACCGCGGCAGACUGUGCUGAUGUGGGGUGCGCCGCCGUCUCGUACGCCGCCCAGAAACAACGGCAGCUACAGUCCGCCGACGCCGCAUUCGACUCACUCGUCUACGCACUCGACCAACGCCACCGGCGACCCGCUCAAGUCGCUGGCGGAGAUGAACUCCAUGAACGGAGAUUGCAAGUGGCGGCAAACCUCUCCUACGGAUCAACAAAUAACCGCGCCGAGUCCGCCGAGGAACAACAAAGCACAGCAGCAGCAGCAGCAGCAGCAGCAGCAGCAGCCUCCAUCUCAGCAGCAACAACAGCAGCAACAACACCACCAUCCGCAGCAGCAGCAGCAGCAGCAGCAGCAGCAGCAGCAACAACAACAGCAUCAGCAAUACCCAGUGACCACGUCGCAGUACCAAGCGGCCGCAGCCGCUGCCGCGGCCGCCGCCGCCGCCGCCGGCAGCAUCGGAUACACGCAUUCUCAUCCGGGCCAUGGCCACGGGGAAGCGGGCUCCGAGGUAUGGCAAGGAGUGCAACACCAUCACUACCAGUACUAUCCCUACCACCAUCACCACCCCGCACCACCAAGGCACACGCCCCACACGCCACCGUCAGUUGCGGGAACGGGGACGGCGGGGGUGGGAGCAGGCAUGGGCAUGGGCACCGGGGCGGACAACAGCACCAGCAACAGCAACGUCUUGUACCACCCUCCGCACCACCACCACCACCACCACCAUCACGUAGUGGGAUCAUCAGCGGCAGCGGCGGCGGCGGCGGCGGCGGCGGCGGCGGCGGCAGGAAUGGGCCCAACUGUCCCACAGAUUCCAAACCGGACGCCGGGAGUCCUCUGUUGUCCAUCUCUGAGGUGACUAACACCCUGCUCAACCAAUAGUCCUUUCGCCACCUCGGCGUCGCUCUAUAUCAAUGAAGAAGGUAUCUCUAAAAGGAUGUCCUCAUCGAAGCGGAUCCCAAGACGCGUCACUGUACCAUACAGAUAAUGUCGGUUAAAAAGAAGUAAAAGUAUUCGUAUAGUACUGUGUAACAUACUCACACUACGCAGCUAAUAACCAAUCUAUUAUUACCUAACUUUCAUUACAUUAAUUUAUCCGUA
rnacentral:misc_RNA from 1 species